CCUACGGGAGGCAGCAGUGAGGAAUAUUGGUCAAUGGGCGCGAGCCUGAACCAGCCAAGUAGCGUGAAGGAUGACUGCCCUACGGGUUGUAACCUUCUUUUAUAAUGGAAUAAAGUGAGUGACGUUUCCCUUUUUGUAUGUACCUUAUGAAUAAGGGUCGGCUAACUCCGUGCCAGCAGCGGCGGUAAUACGGAGGAUUCGAGCGUUAUCCGGAUUUAUUGGGUGUAAAGGGCGCGUAGAUGGGUUGUUAAGUCAGUUGUGAAAGUUUGUGGCUCAACCGUAGAAUUGCACUUGAUACGGGCAGGCUUGAGUACGGUUGAGGUAGGCGGAAUGCGUGGUGUAGCGGUGGAAUGCUUAGAUAUCGCGAAGAACACCGAUGGCGAAGGCAGCUUUCUAAGCCGCUACUGACGUUGAUGCGCGAAAGUGUGGGGAGCAAACAGGAUUAGAUACCCCUGUAGUC
rnacentral:rRNA from 1 species